UUGUAAUGAUGUUGAUCAAAUGUCUGACCUGAAAUGAGCAUGUGGUCAAAUGCAACACUGAAGAA
rnacentral:snoRNA from 1 species